rnacentral:rRNA from 1 species
GGUUUAAUUCGACGCAACGCGAAGAACCUUACCUAGGUUUGACAUGCCGCGAGUAGGAAACCGAAAGGGGACCGACCGGUUCAGUCCGGAAGCGGUACAGGUGCUGCAUGGCUGUCGUCAGCUCGUGCCGUGAGGUGUUGGGUUCAGUCCCGCAACGAGCGCAACCCUCGCCCUUUGUUGCCAUCGGGUAAAGCCGGGCACUCUAAGGGGACUGCCAGCGAUAAGUUGGAGGAAGGAGAGGAUGACGUCAAGUCAUCAUGGCCCUUAUGUCUAGGGCAACACACGUGCAACAAUGGCCGGUACAGACGGAAGCAAAGCCGAGAGGUGGAGCAAACCCGAGAAAGCCGGUCUCAGUUCGGAUUGAGGUC